rnacentral:rRNA from 1 species
GGCUCAGGAUGAACGCUAGCUACAGGCUUAACACAUGCAAGUCGAGGGGCAUCAGGAAGAAAGCUUGCUUUCUUUGCUGGCGACCGGCGCACGGGUGAGUAACACGUAUCCAACCUGCCCUUUACUCGGGGAUAGCCUUUCGAAAGAAAGAUUAAUACCCGAUAGCAUAAUGAUUCCGCAUGGUUUCAUUAUUAAAGGAUUCCGGUAAAGGAUGGGGAUGCGCUCCAUUAGGUUGUUGGUGAGGUAACGGCCCACCAAGCCUUCGAUGGAUAGGGGUUCUGAGAGGAAGGUCCCCCACAUUGGAACUGAGACACGGUCCAAACUCCUACGGGAGGCAGCAGUGAGGAAUAUUGGUCAAUGGGCGCUAGCCUGAACCAGCCAAGUAGCGUGAAGGAUGAAGGCUCUAUGGGUCGUAAACUUCUUUUAUAUAAGAAUAAAGUGCAGUAUGUAUACUGUUUUGUAUGUAUUAUAUGAAUAAGGAUCGGCUAACUCCGUGCCAGCAGCCGCGGUAAUACGGAGGAUCCGAGCGUUAUCCGGAUUUAUUGGGUUUAAAGGGAGCGUAGGUGGACUGGUAAGUCAGUUGUGAAAGUUUGCGGCUCAACCGUAAAAUUGCAGUUGAUACUGUCAGUCUUGAGUACAGUAGAGGUGGGCGGAAUUCGUGGUGUAGCGGUGAAAUGCUUAGAUAUCACGAAGAACUCCGAUUGCGAAGGCAGCUCACUGGACUGCAACUGACACUGAUGCUCGAAAGUGUGGGUAUCAAACAGGAUUAGAUACCCUGGUAGUCCACACAGUAAACGAUGAAUACUCGCUGUUUGCGAUAUACAGUAAGCGGCCAAGCGAAAGCAUUAAGUAUUCCACCUGGGGAGUACGCCGGCAACGGUGAAACUCAAAGGAAUUGACGGGGGCCCGCACAAGCGGAGGAACAUGUGGUUUAAUUCGAUGAUACGCGAGGAACCUUACCCGGGCUUAAAUUGCAGUGGAAUGAUGUGGAAACAUGUCAGUGAGCAAUCACCGCUGUGAAGGUGCUGCAUGGUUGUCGUCAGCUCGUGCCGUGAGGUGUCGGCUUAAGUGCCAUAACGAGCGCAACCCUUAUCUUUAGUUACUAACAGGUUAUGCUGAGGACUCUAGAGAGACUGCCGUCGUAAGAUGUGAGGAAGGUGGGGAUGACGUCAAAUCAGCACGGCCCUUACGUCCGGGGCUACACACGUGUUACAAUGGGGGGUACAGAAGGCAGCUAGCGGGUGACCGUAUGCUAAUCCCAAAAUCCUCUCUCAGUUCGGAUCGAAGUCUGCAACCCGACUUCGUGAAGCUGGAUUCGCUAGUAAUCGCGCAUCAGCCACGGCGCGGUGAAUACGUUCCCGGGCCUUGUACACACCGCCCGUCAAGCCAUGGGAGCCGGGGGUACCUGAAGUACGUAACCGCAAGGAUCGUCCUAGGGUAAAAC